GAUGACACGGAAACAGAAGCUCAGGGGAGGUAAAACAUCACAGUCUCAAGGCACUACUGGGACAGACCCGGGCCAUGGCAUUCACUCAAAGCAAGAUGCCCACUCCCAGAGCUCAGCGGCUGCUUGCACAGUCAUCGUCAGGAAGGAGCAUUUUGGUUUGCAAACUUUACCAAAAGCACCUUUAGGCACUGGGCACCGUGGCAGUUCCACAGCACUGAUGGAGGAGCUGAGGAAGGGACAACAAAGAAAUCACACUUUUCCAAAUCUGGACACCGGGAGCUGAGAAUACACACGAGGACACUGUAGAUACUGAAGCCAGCAAAUGGAGCAACCUCCUGCUAAACAUUAAGGACCUGCAUAACCAAGCUGGCUUCACCAAAACAGCCAACAUGCCGACAAAUGAUGUGUGUUUGCUGCCCUGAACAUGGACAAUGUUUUUUCCUGCAACAAAUGUGCAGAAGAAGGUGUUCUGGAGUGCAAGGGGACAUUAAAUCAGCUCUGUUAACCUGAUUAAGCCCUCUCAGUCACCACAUGCACAGGAUCCCACAGCCAUUGGUGAACUAGGAAGGUAACACACGCGGAGUUGCAGGGCAGACCCUGCCUCACCGCAGCAGCAGUGCAUUACACCCAGCAGUGUUCUGCCCCAUCAGCCCUAAUGUGGGCACAGCUGGCCCAUAUUCCUGUAGCCUCCUGGUUUUAAAGCUGAUAGCUAACUGGAGUAUGUGCCUCCGCAGCCCAUGCCAGAAGUUAAUCUUUGGGCUACACAGUGCGACAAGCAGUGAGACUCAUAAGGAACUCUGAAAGGAGAGGGAUGCUGCAUUAGACUGGCUGGGAUGGCCAGCACAUAAUUUAGACACAAUGAGCUCUAAAACCCAUGCCAAUAAAUCAGCAUCUGUCAGACACCCUCUCAAGUAUCAGUGGCAUUAACAGCACAAGGCUACAAAGAAAGCUACUCAUUAUAAGCAACUAAGUUCAGUUGCUUAUAAGUUGCUUUCUAAGUUCAGAAAAUAUGAUAAAAUAGAUAACGUAAUAAUUUGCAGCAGCAUGCAGCUGAUGGUUUUGGGUUGAUUUUGCUUCUGAGUUACAUUUCCUGCCAUGCUGGGUGUGCACAAAAAGACACUUUUUCUAGGUCAGCAAUGAACACGAGAUGUCCAGAGCUCACUCACACAGCCCAGCACAGACCUCCAUGGCCACUCAUGCAUUGCUUCAGCCUGCACUCAUCAGCCUAACCUAGGGAGCUGCUACCCAACUCUGAGGGAGCCCCACACCUUGAAGUCCCUGCUCACUUUUUGAAACAUUCUGCUUCAGCAGAAAAACUUGAGCACUAUGUGUGAAAAAGCCAUCCCAAAAUUUAUUCUCAAAAUGUCAACAGAAACUCAUCAGUAGAUACUCAAAACUACAGAGUUCUUACAUAAAAGUCAUACAUUCACAAUGCAGAAAACUUGACAACAGGGAUGCCUUUUGCAUGUUCCAUGUAACAAUAUCCAUCUUACAGUGUAAACAGGUACUGGUAUGUUCUCACUUACAAGUCCAGCAGGAAAGGCACAACUCGGCAUACAGAGAUCAUAAGCAAGAAUCAGGUGCAACAACAUUACACAAACUUUUGGUAAUCUGUACUUUUGGAGCCUUUCACAACAGAGACUGGACUUGAUUUCCUGCGGUCCACAAAGACUUCUUUCCAUCGCUCAGUCCUUCUUUACCAAAUGCUAUUUCCAGUCCGGUUUAGAUCCCAUUACACACAGUUCCAGUAGACAUUAGAGGAAUAGUGAAAGGUCAGUCCAGUAAUCCUCAGGUGCUCCCACUAAUACAUUGGGUUUUGGUUUCAGAUAGUGCAUGGAAGCAUCUGCUUGAAUCUCAGUUUAUUACAGUGGUCAUUAAUAGAAAAAUAGACACUACAUCUACAAAAAGAAAAAAAUGAGGUAGAUAACUUAGAAUCCAGAUGACCAUCCCAGCAACCUUCAUACAAUAUGCACGGAUCAUUAAUUACCAUUUUGGCAGAAUGUAACUUCACAGACCACCAAGAAACUUAAUGACCAGAGUAGGAAUGCCAUCCAAAACCCCCCAAAAAACCCACGACAUUUAACCUAAGCAUGAAUACUUCAUAUUUAAAUACAGGUUUACACAGACUGAUCUUCUAAAUUACUCAAAUUAAAAACAAUAAAAGUAAAAAACAAAACAAAACACCACAACAAAGUCUCUUGCUAAGGAAGCUAGUUCCCAUGCCUAAUUGCAACAGUCACCUGAGAUUCCUUGCAGAGCUUUCAGACCUGACUUCCCAAGGCAAGUCUUCCCUUUCAAGAAAGAAAAAAGUAUAUACAUACCCACCCACAUUUGGUUUGGGGCUCUGAAAUAAAACAUCUCGGAAAAACUGCACGUCUUUGGAAGGAGGGAGUUUGGCACUAAACUUGGAGGCCUGUUCUAGUAGUAGUAUUAAAUAAGCAGCAGUCAGCACAACAGAAUUCCUUAGAAGCAGUGAUUGAAGAAAAACAGCAACUUCCUUUCAUAGAACUUCUGAGGCAAAAAGGAAUUUUUUAAAAAA